rnacentral:rRNA from 1 species
UACGGAGGAUCCAAGCGUUAUCCGGAUUUAUUGGGUUUAAAGGGAGCGUAGAUGGAUUUUAAGUCAGUUGUGAAAGUUCGGGGCUCAACCCCGUAACUUGCAGUUGAUACUGGAUAUCUUGAGUACAGUUGAGGUAGGCGGGAAUUCGUGGUGUAGCUGUGAAAUGCUUAGAUAUCACGAAGAACUCCGAUUGCGAAGGCAGCUUACUAAGCUGUAACUGACAUUGAGGCUCGAAAGCGUGGGGAGCAAACGGGAUUAGAUACCCCGGUAGUCCCU